rnacentral:rRNA from 1 species
GUCUACGGCCAUGCUACCCUGAACAAGCCCGAUCCUGUCUGAUUUCUGAAGCUAAGCAGGGUCGGGCCGGGUUAGUACUUGGAUGGGAGACCAACUAGGAAGACCAGGUGCUGUAGGUG